rnacentral:rRNA from 1 species
AUUGAACGCUGGCGGAAUGCUUUACACAUGCAAGUCGAACGGCAGCACGGACUUCGGUCUGGUGGCGAGUGGCGAACGGGUGAGUAAUGUAUCGGAACGCGCCCAGUCGUGGGGGAUAACGUAGUGAAAAUUACGCUAAUACCGCAUACGAUCUAUGGAUGAAAGCGGGGGAUCGCAAGACCUCGCGCGAUUGGAGCGGCCGAUAUCAGAUUAGGUAGUGGUGGGGGUAAAGGCCCACCAAGCCAACGAUCUGUAGCUGGUCUGGGAGGACGACCAGCCACACUGGAACGGGGACAGGGUCAAGACUCCUAGGGGAGGAAGCGGUGGGGAAUUUUGGACAAUGGGCGAAAGCCUGAUCCAGCCAUUCCGCGUGCAGGAUGAAGGCCCUGGGGUUGUAAACUGCUUUUGUACAGAACGAAAAGGUUUCUACUAAUACUAGGAGCUCAUGACGGUACUGUAAGAAUAAGCACCGGCUAACUACGUGCCAGCCGCCGCGGUAA